rnacentral:lncRNA from 1 species
GAAUGAUAUCUCACACUGCCCCUUUGCCUGGAGUGCAGAGUGCAAUCUUGGCACCCUGCAACCACCUGACUCACAGCUUCAAGUGAUUUAUCUUCCUCAGCCCCUUGAUUAGCUGAGAUUACUGGCGGACACAACCACAGCUGAUGGGGUUUCCCCAUAUUCUACAGACUCUUCUCUAACUCCUGACCUCAAGUAAUUUGCCUACCUUAUUCUCAGAACAUGCUGGGACUACAGAUGUGAACCACCGUGCCUGGCACUUGAUUGAAUUUAUAAUUGAGAAAAACAUACAUCUUGCAAAAAUUUAUUUUUAUAUCAUAUUUUU